rnacentral:rRNA from 1 species
AGUGAACGCUGGCGGUAGGCCUAACACAUGCAAGUCGAACGGCAGCACAGUAAGAGCUUGCUCUUACGGGUGGCGAGUGGCGUACGGGUGAGGAAUACAUCGGAAUCUACUUUUUCGUGGGGGAUAACGUAGGGAAACUUACGCUAAUACCGCAUACGACCUACGGGUGAAAGCAGUGGAUCUUCGGACCUUGCGCGAUUGAUUGAGCCGAUGUCGGAUUAGCUAGUUGGCUGGGUAAAGGCCCACCAAGGCGACGAUCCGUAUCUGGUCUGAGAGGAUGAUCAGCCACACUGGAACUGAGACACGGUCCAGACUCCUACGGGAGGCAGCAGUGGGGAAUAUUGGACAAUGGGCGCAAGCCUGAUCCAGCCAUACCGCGUGGGUGAAGAAGGCCUUCGGGUUGUAAAGCCCUUUUGUUGGGAAAGAAAAGCAGCAGGUUAAUACCCCGCUGUUCUGACGGUACCCAAAGAAUAAGCACCGGCUAACUUCGUG